AGAGAGCCUCUGGGUCAACCUCCCACCCGUGUCUAUCGUACCUUGUUGCUUCGGCGGGCCCGCCGUUUCGACGGCCGCCGGGGAGGCCUUGCGCCCCCGGGCCCGCGCCCGCCGAAGACCCCAACAUGAACGCUGUUCUGAAAGUAUGCAGUCUGAGUUGAUUAUCGUAAUCAGUUAAAACUUUCAACAACGGAUCUCUUGGUUCCGGCAUCGAUGAAGAACGCAGCGAAAUGCGAUAAGUAAUGUGAAUUGCAGAAUUCAGUGAAUCAUCGAGUCUUUGAACGCACAUUGCGCCCCCUGGUAUUCCGGGGGGCAUGCCUGUCCGAGCGUCAUUGCUGCCCUCAAGCACGGCUUGUGUGUUGGGCCCCCGUCCCCCUCUCCCGGGGGACGGGCCCGAAAGGCAGCGGCGGCACCGCGUCCGGUCCUCGAGCGUAUGGGGCUUUGUCACCUGCUCUGUAGGCCCGGCCGGCGCCAGCCGACACCCAACUUUAUUUUUCUAAGGUUGACCUCGGAUCAGGUAGGGAUACCCGCUGAACUUAAGCAUAUCAAUAAGCAGAGGAA
rnacentral:rRNA from 1 species